rnacentral:rRNA from 1 species
UACGUAGGGUGCGAGCGUUAAUCGGAAUUACUGGGCGUAAAGCGUGCGCAGGCGGCGCGUUAAGACAGGUGUGAAAGCCCCGAGCUUAACUUGGGAAUUGCGCUUGUGACUGGCGAGCUGGAGUGUGGCAGAGGGAGGUGGAAUUCCACGUGUAGCAGUGAAAUGCGUAGAGGUGUGGAGGAACACCGAUGGCGAAGGCAGCCUCCUGGGCCAGCACUGACGCUCAUGCACGAAAGCGUGGGGAGCAAACGGG